AUUGAACGCUGGCGGCAUGCCUUACACAUGCAAGUCGAACGGCAGCACGGGUGCUUGCACCUGGUGGCGAGUGGCGAACGGGUGAGUAAUACAUCGGAACAUGUCCUGUAGUGGGGGAUAGCCCGGCGAAAGCCGGAUUAAUACCGCAUACGAUCUACGGAUGAAAGCGGGGGACCUUCGGGCCUCGCGCUAUAGGGUUGGCCGAUGGCUGAUUAGCUAGUUGGUGGGGUAAAGGCCUACCAAGGCGACGAUCAGUAGCUGGUCUGAGAGGACGACCAGCCACACUGGGACUGAGACACGGCCCAGACUCCUACGGGAGGCAGCAGUGGGGAAUUUUGGACAAUGGGCGAAAGCCUGAUCCAGCAAUGCCGCGUGUGUGAAGAAGGCCUUCGGGUUGUAAAGCACUUUUGUCCGGAAAGAAAUCCUUGGCCCUAAUACGGUCGGGGGAUGACGGUACCGGAGAAUAAGCACCGGCUAACUACGUG
rnacentral:rRNA from 1 species